UACGAAGGGGGCUAGCGUUGCUCGGAAUCACUGGGCGUAAAGGGUGCGUAGGCGGGUCUUUAAGUCAGGGGUGAAAUCCUGGAGCUCAACUCCAGAACUGCCUUUGAUACUGGCGAUCUUAGAGUCCGGGAGAGGUGAGUGGAACUCCGAGUGUAGAGGUGAAAUUCGUAGAUAUUCGGAAGAACACCAGUGGCGAAGGCGGCUCACUGGCCCGGUACUGACGCUCAGGUGCGAAAGCGUGGGGAGCAAACAGG
rnacentral:rRNA from 1 species